rnacentral:rRNA from 1 species
UAUGAGAGUUUGAUCCUGGCUCAGGACGAACGCUGGCGGCGUGCCUAAUACAUGCAAGUCGUACGCUUCUUUUUCCACCGGAGCUUGCUCCACCGAAAAAAGAAGAGUGGCGAACGGGUGAGUAACACGUGGGUAACCUGCCCAUCAGAAGGGGAUAACACUUGGAAACAGGUGCUAAUACCGUAUAACAAUCGAAACCGCAUGGUUUUGAUUUGAAAGGCGCUUUCGGGUGUCGCUGAUGGAUGGACCCGCGGUGCAUUAGCUAGUUGGUGAGGUAACGGCUCACCAAGGCCACGAUGCAUAGCCGACCUGAGAGGGUGAUCGGCCACAUUGGGACUGAGACACGGCCCAAACUCCUACGGGAGGCAGCAGUAGGGAAUCUUCGGCAAUGGACGAAAGUCUGACCGAGCAACGCCGCGUGAGUGAAGAAGGUUUUCGGAUCGUAAAACUCUGUUGUUAGAGAAGAACAAGGAUGAGAGUAACUGUUCAUCCCUUGACGGUAUCUAACCAGAAAGCCACGGCUAACUACGUGCCAGCAGCCGCGGUAAUACGUAGGUGGCAAGCGUUGUCCGGAUUUAUUGGGCGUAAAGCGAGCGCAGGCGGUUUCUUAAGUCUGAUGUGAAAGCCCCCGGCUCAACCGGGGAGGGUCAUUGGAAACUGGGAGACUUGAGUGCAGAAGAGGAGAGUGGAAUUCCAUGUGUAGCGGUGAAAUGCGUAGAUAUAUGGAGGAACACCAGUGGCGAAGGCGGCUCUCUGGUCUGUAACUGACGCUGAGGCUCGAAAGCGUGGGGAGCAAACAGGAUUAGAUACCCUGGUAGUCCACGCCGUAAACGAUGAGUGCUAAGUGUUGGAGGGUUUCCGCCCUUCAGUGCUGCAGCUAACGCAUUAAGCACUCCGCCUGGGGAGUACGACCGCAAGGUUGAAACUCAAAGGAAUUGACGGGGGCCCGCACAAGCGGUGGAGCAUGUGGUUUAAUUCGAAGCAACGCGAAGAACCUUACCAGGUCUUGACAUCCUUUGACCACUCUAGAGAUAGAGCUUCCCCUUCGGGGGCAAAGUGACAGGUGGUGCAUGGUUGUCGUCAGCUCGUGUCGUGAGAUGUUGGGUUAAGUCCCGCAACGAGCGCAACCCUUAUUGUUAGUUGCCAUCAUUCAGUUGGGCACUCUAGCAAGACUGCCGGUGACAAACCGGAGGAAGGUGGGGAUGACGUCAAAUCAUCAUGCCCCUUAUGACCUGGGCUACACACGUGCUACAAUGGGAAGUACAACGAGUCGCGAAGUCGCGAGGCUAAGCUAAUCUCUUAAAGCUUCUCUCAGUUCGGAUUGUAGGCUGCAACUCGCCUACAUGAAGCCGGAAUCGCUAGUAAUCGCGGAUCAGCACGCCGCGGUGAAUACGUUCCCGGGCCUUGUACACACCGCCCGUCACACCACGAGAGUUUGUAACACCCGAAGUCGGUGAGGUAACCUUUUGGAGCCAGCCGCCUAAGGUGGGAUAGAUGAUUGGGGUGAAGUCGUAACAAGGUAGCCGUAUCGGAAGGUGCGGCUGGAUCACCUCCUUUCUAAGGAA